UACGUAGGGGGCAAGCGUUGUCCGGAAUCAUUGGGCGUAAAGCGCACGUAGGCGGCUUCGCAAGUCGGAUGUGAAAUCCCUCGGCUCAACCGAGGACGUGCAUCCGAAACUGCGGAGCUUGAGUACUGAAGAGGAUCGCGGAAUUCCCGGUGUAGAGGUGAAAUUCGUAGAUAUCGGGAGGAACACCAGUGGCGAAGGCGGCGAUCUGGGCAGAUACUGACGCUGAGGUGCGAAAGCGUGGGGAGCAAACAGG
rnacentral:rRNA from 1 species